GCAGCAGUAGGGAAUCUUUGGUCAAUUGGCGAAAGCCAGAACCAGUCAUGCCGCGUGCAGGAUGAAGGCCCUACGGGUCGUAAACUGCUUUUAUUCGGGAAGAAAAAGUCUGUUUCCUCAGACCUUGACGGUACCGAUUGAAUAAGGACCGGCCAACUCCGUGCCAGCAGCCGCGGUAAUACGGAGGGUCCAAGCGUUAUCCGGAUUCACUGGGUUUAAAGGGUGCGCAGGCGGCUAAGUAAGUCAGUGGUGAAAGCCUUCGGCUCAACCGGAGAAUUGCCAUUGAAACUACUUAGCUUGAGUGCAGUAGAGGUAGGCGGAAUGUAGCAUGUAGCGGUGAAAUGCAUAGAUAUGCUACAGAACACCGAUAGCGAAAGCAGCUUACCACACUGUAACUGACGCUGAGGCACGAAAGCAU
rnacentral:rRNA from 1 species